UUUUUUCUCCCCCGGGGAAAAAAAUUGAUAUCAAUAAGCGGAGGAAAAGAAACCAACCGGGAUUACCUCAGUAACGGCGAGUGAAGCGGUAAUAGCUCAAAUUUGAAAUCUGGCUUCGGUCCGAGUUGUAAUUUGUAGAAGAUGCUUCGGGUGUGGCUCCGGUCUAAGUUCCUUGGAACAGGACGUCAUAGAGGGUGAGAAUCCCGUAUGUGACUGGGUGCCUUCGCCUAUGUGAAGCUCUUUCGACGAGUCGAGUUGUUUGGGAAUGCAGCUCAAAAUGGGUGGUAUAUUUCAUCUAAAGCUAAAUAUUGGCCAGAGACCGAUAGCGCACAAGUAGAGUGAUCGAAAGAUGAAAAGCACUUUGGAAAGAGAGUUAAACAGUACGUGAAAUUGUUGAAAGGGAAGCGUUUGCAAUCAGACUUGCACGUUGCCGAUCAUCUGGUGUUCUCACCAGUGCACUCGGUUUCGUUCAGGCCAGCAUCGGUUUGGGUGGUUGGAUAAAGGCCUUGGGAAUGUGGCUCCUUUCGGGGAGUGUUAUAGCCCUCGGUGCAAUGCAGCCUACCUGGACCGAGGACCGCGCUUCGGCUAGGAUGCUGGCGUAAUGAUUGUAAACGACCCGUCUUGAAACACGGACCAAGGAGUCUAACAUCUAUGCGAGUAUUUGGGUGUUAAACCCAUAUGCGUAAUUAACGUGAACGGAGGUAAGAGCCCUUAAGGGUGCAUUAUCGACCGGUCCUGAUGUCUUCGGAAGGAUCUGAGUAAGAGCAUAGCUGUUGGGACCCGAAAGAUGGUGAACUAUGCCUGAAUAGGGUGAAGCCAGAGGAAACUCUGGUGGAGGCUCGCAGCGGUUCUGACGUGCAAAUCGAUCGUCAAAUUUGGGUAUAGGGGCGAAAGACUAAUCGAACCAUCUAGUAGCUGGUUCCUGCGUCACCCCCCCCCCCAGACGAGAGAAAAAAG
rnacentral:rRNA from 1 species